AUUGAACGCUGGCGGCAGGCCUAACACAUGCAAGUCGGGCGAGAGGCGGAAGGGAGAGUAAUGUAUGGGGAUCUGCCUGAGGGAGGGGGAUAACUACUGGAAACGGUAGCUAAUACCGCAUACCAUCAACUGAACCCAUAUGGGUUUAGGUUGUAGGUGAGGUAACGGCUCACCUAGGCGACGAUCCCUAGCUGGUCUGAGAGGAUGAUCAGCCACACGGGAACUGAGACACGGCCCAGACUCCUACGGGAGGCAGCAGUGGGGAAUAUUGCACAAUGGGCGCAAGCCUGAUGCAGCCAUGCCGCGUGUAUGAAGAAGGCCUUAGGGUUGUAAAGUACUUUCAGCGGGGAGGCGUUACCCGCAGAAGAAGCACCGGCUAACUCCGUGCCAGCAGCCGCGGUAAUUC
rnacentral:rRNA from 1 species